rnacentral:lncRNA from 1 species
GUCGUCCUUGCUACAUGUAUGAUACGUUGUCACUUUUUCGGAGUAAAUAGUUGUUUCGUGCCAUGCUCUGUGUUCAUUUUAAUACGGGUAGGCAUUAUAUUUAUCAAUAUCUUAAUACCGAGCGUAAGCGUUGAAUUUGCCGGUGGAUCACCGACUUUCGGCAGGAAAACUGACAUUAUAUUCCGAGUUAAAUUAGAUUUUAGCCAACCACACCUGUCACGUGGGUGGUUCAGACUGUUUAACUCCGUGUUGACAUGCUUGUAGUACCAACA